rnacentral:sRNA from 1 species
AAAAGUGUUGCAUAAAAGUGUUGCUUAAAAUUGAAAAAAAAUAUUAAGUAGUAUUUUGAAUAAAAAUCAAAACGCCCCUACAGUCUAGAGAGUAGGGUUAGUGUCAGUUUAUGUGCUCGUAAAAAAUCAUCUACAAACAUCUUCUGAUCUCUCGGCUGAUUUUAAGACAUCAAAUCUGCUGAAUUUGGGAUCGGUCAAAGAAAACAAAAGAAAUAUUAACAACAUUUUUGUCGAAAACUCUGUAACGAAAAAUCCAUACGUUGUAUGAAACAGUGCGCGCUUGUGUGUGUGUGUGUAUGCUUGAAAUACCAUCCUCCUCCCAGAGCAAAUUUUAAUAAAACAACAACCACAACAGCAACAAGAAAAUAUAAACAACCGCUGUUAAUUGGAAUUUUUUUUUUGUGUUUAAACAAGAAAAGAAAAACAAAUUUUGGGGUUUUUGGCUAGACAGACGCGCCCACAGUUAAAACAUCCGACCAUUCGAGCACAAACUGCAGCAUCUGCAUCGGAGGCCAGUGUAAACUUUGCGCUGCCAUUCGCGUAGCAUCUCAACGGUGAGGCGGCAUUAUCGUGAACAUUUAUUGGAGCACUAUUGUAAGCAGCCUGCAACAAGGCCCAUCAAUUUUUAGUGUAAUUAAGACAAAUAUUUGGAUAAAAAACUAUAACGGCUUUUGGAAGGUGCACAAGCAUACCAAACUAUAAUGGUAAUUAAAUCAUUACCAGGAAUGUUGAUCCAGUUAGCAGUUCAACUUUUAUUGAAAGAACACUCGGCCAAUUUUAUUCCUCUUAAUGUAAGAGAAAACUGUUUUGCAUAAAUGCAACGGCAUGUUCAACAUCCAACAUUCAAC